rnacentral:tRNA from 1 species
AGGAUAAUAGUUAUUAAUAAUAUCUAACUUGCACUUAGAAGGUACUGAAUCAGUUUAUCUUA